GAGUUUGAUCCUGGCUCAGGACGAACGCUGGCGGCGUGCCUACCCCAUGCACGUUGAGCGAGGAGAUUCCCUUCGGGGAUGAACCUAGCGGCGGACGGGUGAGUAACACGUGGGCAACCUGCCUUAUAGAGGGGGAUAGCCUUCCGAAAGGAAGAUUAAUACCGCAUAACAUUACAUUUUCGCAUGAAGAAGUAAUUAAAGGAGUAAUCCGCUAUAAGAUGGGCCCGCGGCGCAUUAGCUAGUUGGUGAGGUAACGGCUCACCAAGGCGACGAUGCGUAGCCGACCUGAGAGGGUGAUCGGCCACAUUGGGACUGAGACACGGCCCAGACUCCUACGGGAGGCAGCAGUGGGGAAUAUUGCACAAUGGGGGAAACCCUGAUGCAGCAACGCCGCGUGAGUGAUGAAGGUCUUCGGAUCGUAAAGCUCUGUCUUCAGGGACGAUAAUGACGGUACCUGAGGAGGAAGCCACGGCUAACUACGUGCCAGCAGCCGCGGUAAUAC
rnacentral:rRNA from 1 species